AGAAGAAUGUUUAUCUAUGAAACAGAGAUUUAUUCCAGCGAACGUUGAAUCAGAGAAGAUGAAGAUGCGACGGAAAAUCACUUGAACCAGGUAACUUUUGAUCCUAUCUUCCUUCUUUGAUUCUCUUCUUCUUCUGAAACUUCUUCUAUAAUCGAGAUAUGGAUGAAAUUAGAGGUAAUCAAGAGAGAUUGAACUGAGAGGAGGUUAUGCUCUACUCUAAUGAAGCUUCGAGGUGAAGCUUUAAUGGAGUAUUCUGAGAGCUCUGUGUGAGGGUGAAGAGAGGUUAUGAGAUGAAAAUUGAAUCUCAAAAUUUUGAGAAAUGUGAAAAUGAAUCAUGAUCCCCUGAAGAGUGAAUGAAUGAUUGUAUUUAUAGAUGUUAGGUCCUUCAAAUUUCUGUUAGAAAUUACAAAUGAAAUUCAACUAAAAUUCACAAGUUAGUUGGAAAUUGGAAUUCAGUUAGCUUGUGUCAGUUAGUUUCAAUUAGUGUGAAAGGUUUUGUGUUGUUGUGCAUAGGUUAGUUAAUGUGGUCUGCAAUCAUUUGUGUUGUUACUUGAGAGAUGCAGGGUUAAGUGAUUUUUUGAAUUUUGCUCUAUUACGAAUUUUGUAAGUGGAUGUGUUAUGAAUGAAAGGGAUAACUUGGUGUAUUGCAGGAUGAUGCAAAAUGAAUUGGGUGCAAUUUUUGUUAUGCCCUCAUGUAUGCUCAUGAUAAUGUCAUGUUGUAUUACAUGAUGAAUUGAUCUUCUUGUUGUUGAACAUUGCAGGUUGUUUAACAGGUCAACUUUUGCAAAAAUGUAAUUUUGAUUUCUCUUUGUAAUGAAACAAUGUAUUCUUUGGUAAAUAAUUGAAAAUCAAUGUUUUGAAUGGAAUGAUCAGGAGUGUUUGUGGAUUAAAAA
rnacentral:lncRNA from 1 species